rnacentral:rRNA from 1 species
AGAGUUUGAUCCUGGCUCAGGAUGAACGCUGGCGGCGUGCUUAACACAUGCAAGUCGAACGAAGCACCUUAUUCUGAUUUCUUCGGAAUGAAAAAUUUGGUGACUGGGUGGCGGACGGGUGAGUAACGCGUGGGUAACCUGCCUCAUACAGGGGGAUAACAGUUAGAAAUGACUGCUAAUACCGCAUAAGACCACAGCACCGCAUGGUGCAGGGGUAAAAACUCCGGUGGUAUGAGAUGGACCCGCGUCUGAUUAGGUAGUUGGUGGGGUAACGGCCUACCAAGCCGACGAUCAGUAGCCGACCUGAGAGGGUGACCGGCCACAUUGGGACUGAGACACGGCCCAAACUCCUACGGGAGGCAGCAGUGGGGAAUAUUGCACAAUGGGGGAAACCCUGAUGCAGCGACGCCGCGUGAGCGAUGAAGUAUUUCGGUAUGUAAAGCUCUAUCAGCAGGGAAGAAAAUGACGGUACCUGACUAAGAAGCACCGGCUAAAUACGUGCCAGCAGCCGCGGUAAUACGUAUGGUGCAAGCGUUAUCCGGAUUUACUGGGUGUAAAGGGAGCGUAGACGGAGUGGCAAGUCUGAUGUGAAAAAACCCCGGGGCUCAACCCCCGGGGACUGCAUUGGAAAACUGUCAAUCUAGAGUACCGGAGAGGUAAGCGGAAUUCCUAGUGUAGCGGUGAAAUGCGUAGAUAUUAGGAGGAACACCAGUGGCGAAGGCGGCUUACUGGACGGUAACUGACGUUGAGGCUCGAAAGCGUGGGGAGCAAACAGGAUUAGAUACCCUGGUAGUCCACGCCGUAAACGAUGAGUACUAGCUGUCGGAGGUUACCCCCUUCGGUGGCGCAGCUAACGCAUUAAGUACUCCGCCUGGGGAGUACGCUCGCAAGAGUGAAACUCAAAGGAAUUGACGGGGACCCGCACAAGUAGCGGAGCAUGUGGUUUAAUUCGAAGCAACGCGAAGAACCUUACCUAAGCUUGACAUCCUUUUGACCGAUGCCUAAUCGCAUCUUUCCCUUCGGGGACAGAAGUGACAGGUGGUGCAUGGUUGUCGUCAGCUCGUGUCGUGAGAUGUUGGGUUAAGUCCCGCAACGAGCGCAACCCUUGCCUUUAGUUGCCAUCAUUAAGUUGGGCACUCUAGAGGGACUGCCAGGGAUAACCUGGAGGAAGGUGGGGAUGACGUUAAAUCAUCAUGCCCCUUAUGCUUAGGGCUACACACGUGCUACAAUGGGUGGUACAGAGGGCAGCGAAGUCGUGAGGCCAAGCUAAUCCCUUAAAGCCAUUCUCAGUUCGGAUUGUAGGCUGAAACUCGCCUACAUGAAGCUGGAGUUACUAGUAAUCGCAGAUCAGAAUGCUGCGGUGAAUGCGUUCCCGGGUCUUGUACUCACCGCCCGUCA